AUGCGGACUACCUGCACCUGGACAGAAAGACCCUAUGAAGCUUUACUGUUCCCUGGGAUUGGCUUUGGGCCUUUCCUGCGCAGCUUAGGUGGAAGGCGAAGAAGGCCCCCUUCCGGGGGGGGGGGGGGUGAGCCAUCAGUGAGAUACCACUCUAGAAGAGCUCGGAUUCUAACCUUGUGUCAGACCCGCGGGCCAAGGGACAGUCUCAGGUAG
rnacentral:rRNA from 1 species